UACGUAGGGUGCAAGCGUUGUCCGGAAUUAUUGGGCGUAAAGAGCGUGUAGGCGGCCCGGUAAGUCCGCUGUGAAAGUCCAGGGCUCAACCCUGGGAUGCCGGUGGAUACUGUCGGGCUCGAGUCCGGAAGAGGAGUGUGGAAUUCCUGGUGUAGCGGUGAAAUGCGCAGAUAUCAGGAGGAACACCGGUGGCGAAGGCGGGUCUCUGGGCAACAACUGACGCUGAGGAGCGAAAGCGUGGGGAGCGAACAGG
rnacentral:rRNA from 1 species